AACAUUAUAUGAUGAGUAGAAUCAAAUAAUCCCUUGCUGAGCUCGUGAUAAAUUUGCUUUUUCCUGUCAAAAACU
ensembl:snoRNA